rnacentral:lncRNA from 1 species
GAUGAGUCUCACAAUCCACCAGUGACACCUAGCAGUAUGUGGUGGUAAUCCAAUAGAAUGAAAGUACAAACCCCAAGAUGUAGUUAUCAUAUAUCUUAGUUCUUCUAUCGUGAGUUUCGACUUGAUGAAGGUCAUGAAGAACUCGUCAGAUCCUUCGUCAGUCAUAUGCUGAUUGGCUCGACUCGAGUUUAUUUAUGAAUCUUGUGAAAACUUUUUUUUUAUAUUCAUGCUUGCUUUGGCCAA